UGGGGAAUUUUGCACAAUGGGGGAAACCCUGAUGCAGCGACGCCGCGUGAUUUAGAAGGCCUUCGGGUUGUAAAAAUCUUUUCUAUGGGAAGAAAAUGACAGUACCAUAGGAAUAAGGACCGGCUAAUUACGUGCCAGCAGCCGCGGUAAUACGUAAGGUCCGAGCGUUGUCCGGAAUCAUUGGGCGUAAAGGGUACGUAGGCGGGUAAGCAAGUUAGAAGUGAAAUCCUAUAGCUCAACUAUAGUAAGCUUUUAAAACUGCUCAUCUUGAGGUAUGGAAGGGAAAGUGGAAUUCCUAGUGUAGCGGUGAAAUGCGCAGAUAUUAGGAGGAAUACCGGUGGCGAAGGCGUCUUUCUGGCCAUAACCUGACGCUGAGGUACGAAAGCGUGGGUAGCAAACAGG
rnacentral:rRNA from 1 species